AGAGUUUGAUCCUGGCUCAGGAUGAACGCUAGCGGCAGGCUUAACACAUGCAAGUCGAGGGGCAGCGAGGGUAAUAGCAAUAUUACCUGUCGGCGACCGGCGCACGGGUGCGUAACGCGUAUGCAACCUACCAUCAACAGGGGGAUAACACUGAGAAAUUGGUACUAAUACCCCAUAAUAUCUCAUGCGGCAUCGCAUGGGGUUGAAAACUCCGGUGGUUGAUGAUGGGCAUGCGUUGUAUUAGCUGGUUGGUGAGGUAACGGCUCACCAAGGCGACGAUACAUAGGGGGACUGAGAGGUUAACCCCCCACAUUGGUACUGAGACACGGACCAAACUCCUACGGGAGGCAGCAGUGAGGAAUAUUGGUCAAUGGACGCAAGUCUGAACCAGCCAUGCCGCGUGCAGGAAGACGGCUCUAUGAGUUGUAAACUGCUUUUGUACAAGGGUAAACCUGAAUACGUGUAUUCAGCUGAAAGUACUGUACGAAUAAGGAUCGGCUAACUCCGUGCCAGCAGCCGCGGUAAUACGGAGGAUCCGAGCGUUAUCCGGAUUUAUUGGGUUUAAAGGGUGCGUAGGCGGUUUGAUAAGUUAGAGGUGAAAUGUCGGGGCUCAACCCCGAAACUGCCUCUAAUACUGUUGGACUAGAGAAUAGUUGCGGUAGGCGGAAUGUAUGGUGUAGCGGUGAAAUGCUUAGAGAUCAUACAGAACACCGAUUGCGAAGGCAGCUUACCAAACUAUAUCUGACGUUGAGGCACGAAAGCGUGGGUAGCAAACAGGAUUAGAUACCCUGGUAGUCCACGCAGUAAACGAUGAUAACUCGUUGUCGGCGAUACACAGUCGGUGACUAAGCGAAAGCGAUAAGUUAUCCACCUGGGGAGUACGUUCGCAAGAAUGAAACUCAAAGGAAUUGACGGGGGCCCGCACAAGCGGAGGAACAUGUG
rnacentral:rRNA from 1 species